UGCCCCAUGGCUGAGUUGGUUACAGCGUCCGACUGUUAACCUGGAUCCUACCGAGUUUCCUAGGUCAUAAUCGGAAGGUCGAGAGUUCGAGCCUCUCUGGGGCAG